AGAGUUUGAUCCUGGCUCAGAACGAACGCUGGCGGCAGGCUUAACACAUGCAAGUCGAACGCGCGACCUUCGGGUCGUGAGUGGCAGACGGGUGAGUAACGCGUGGGAACCUACCUGGUGGUAUGGAAUAACUCGGGGAAACCCGAGCUAAUACCGUAUACGCCCUGGUUUUAGGACCAGGGGAAAGAUUUAUCGCCAUCGGAUGGGCCCGCGUCGGAUUAGCUUGUUGGUGUGGUAACGGCGCACCAAGGCGACGAUCCGUAGCUGGUCUGAGAGGAUGAUCAGCCACACUGGGACUGAGACACGGCCCAGACUCCUACGGGAGGCAGCAGUGGGGAAUAUUGGACAAUGGGGGCAACCCUGAUCCAGCCAUGCCGCGUGAGUGAAGAAGGCCUUAGGGUUGUAAAUCUCUUUCGGCGGGGAAGAUAAUGACGGUACCCGCAGAAGAAGCCCCGGCUAACUCCGCGCCAGCAGCCCGCGGUAAUACGGAGGGGGCCUAGCGUUGCUCGGAAUUACUGGGGCGUAAAGGGGCACGUAGGCUGGCUGUUAAGUCGGGGGUGAAAUCCUGAGGCUCAACCUCAGAAUUGCCUCCGAUACUGGCGGUCUCGAGUGCGGGAGAGGUGAGUGGAAUUCCCAGUGUAGAGGUGAAAUUCGUAGA
rnacentral:rRNA from 1 species